GUGAGGAAUAUUGCGCAAUGGAGGCAACUCUGACGCAGCCAUGCCGCGUGCAGGAAGAAGGCGCUACGCGUUGUAAACUGCUUUUAACCGGGAAGAAACCCCAGGACGUGUCCUGGGUUGACGGUACCGGAGGAAUAAGCACCGGCUAACUUCGUGCCAGCAGCCGCGGUAAUACGAAGGGUGCAAGCGUUAUCCGGAUUCAUUGGGUUUAAAGGGUGCGUAGGCGGAGCGUUAAGUCAGUGGUGAAAUCCUGCAGCUUAACUGUAGACUUGCCAUUGAUACUGGCGCUCUUGAGUGCGCUUGACGUGGGCGAAAUGUGCCGUGUAGCGGUGAAAUGCUUAGAUAUGGCACAGAACACCAAGUGCGAAGGCAGCUCACUAAGGCGAUACUGACGCUGAGGCACGAAAGCGUGGGGAUCGAACAGGAUUAGAAACCCUAGUAGUCC
rnacentral:rRNA from 1 species